CUGGCGGCGUGCCUAACACAUGCAAGUCGAACGGGGAUUUGUUUCGGCAGAAUCCUAGUGGCGAACGGGUGAGUAACGCGUAGGCAACCUGCCCUCCGGCCGGGGACAACACUCCGAAAGGGGUGCUAAUACCGGAUACGAAGUCUGUGCCGCAUGGUACGGAUUUGAAAGAUGGCCUCUAUUUAUAAGCUAUCGCCGGGGGAUGGGCCUGCGUCCGAUUAGCUGGUUGGUGGGGUAACGGCCUACCAAGGCGACGAUCGGUAGCCGGUCUGAGAGGAUGAACGGCCACAUUGGGACUGAGACACGGCCCAGACUCCUACGGGAGGCAGCAGUGGGGAAUCUUCCGCAAUGGGCGCAAGCCUGACGGAGCAACGCCGCGUGAGUGAGGAAGUUCUUCGGAACGUAAAGCUCUGUUGUUCCUGACGAACCUCCCUUCUAUGAACAACGGAGGGGACUGACGGUAGGGAACGAGGAAGCCACGGCUAACUACGUGCCAGCCGCCGC
rnacentral:rRNA from 1 species